GGACAUCCUUCAAUGUCCUGACCGUGCUUGAGCAGAAGUCAUGCUUUCUGUGGCAGAAAGAUGAGCAAGGCUUCCUCCACCCCUGAUGGAUCAAGACUGUGAACAUCACUUUGACCAACUUGCGUUAAAAUUGCAACAACCAGGUUUUGUCGCUGGACCUGCUUGUGGGUGAUAACUAUAUAACCAUUCUGUUCUUA